AGGUCAUUUCAAAGAGAGCUUAUGGACCAAAACCAGGAGCUCUUAACACUGUGACCUAAGCCUGAAGUUCUCUAUAAUAACAGACACUCAAUAGUGCUUUGUUUUCAUGAGGAGAUAUAAGG